rnacentral:misc_RNA from 1 species
ACAAACUUGGUCAUUUAGAGGAAGUAAAAGUCGUAACAAGGUCUCCGUUGGUGAACCAGCGGAGGGAUCAUUACAGGACUCGCAAGACUCCCGUAAACCACUGUGAACGUUACCUAUAGUCGUUGCCUCGGCGGGCUGCUCUGGACGCGAGUCCGGGGCGCUCCAGCCCGCCGGUGGCCCCUAUAACUCUUCUGUUUUUGCCCCUGGCAUCUCGGAGUAAACGCAAACGAAUCAAAACUUUCAACAACGGAUCUCUUGGUUCUGGCAUCGAUGAAGAACGCAGC